rnacentral:rRNA from 1 species
AAUGAACGCUGGCGGCGCGCCUAAUACAUGCAAGUCGAGCGAGAAGACGUAGCAAUACGUUUGUAAAGCGGCGAACGGGUGAGGAAUACAUGGGUAACCUACCCUCGAGUGGGGAAUAACUAGCCGAAAGGUUAGCUAAUACCGCGUACGCUCCUUGGACUUCGGUUCAGGGAGGAAAGCGAUACCGUGGGUAUCGCGCUCUUGGUUGGGCUCAUGUCCUAUCAGCUUGUUGGUGAGGAACGGCUCACCAAGGCUUCGACGGGUAGCUGGUCUGAGAGGACGAUCAGCCACACUGGCACUGCGACACGGGCCAGACUCCUACGGGAGGCAGCAGUAAGGAAUAUUGCGCAAUGGGCGAAAGCCUGACGCAGCGACGCCGCGUGGGGGGAUGAAGGUC